rnacentral:rRNA from 1 species
CGGCUCAGUAACACGUGGAUAACCUACCCUUGAGAUGGGAAUAAACCCGGGAAACUGGGUAUAAUACCCGAUAGAUCUCGACUGCUGGAAUGCAUCGAGAUCCAAAGCUCCGGCGCUCAAGGAUGGAUCUGCGGCCUAUCAGGUAGUAGUGGGUGUAGCGUACCUACUAGCCUACGACGGGUACGGGUUGUGAGAGCAAGAGCCCGGAGAUGGAUUCUGAGACACGAAUCCAGGCCCUACGGGGUGCAGCAGGCGCGAAAACUUUACAAUGCUGGAAACAGCGAUAAGGGGACCUCGAGUGCCUGGUUACAAAUCUGGCUGUCGUGAUGCCUAAAAAGCAUUGCAUAGCAAGGGCCGGGCAAGACCGGUGCCAGCCGCCGCGGUAACACCGGCGGCUCGAGUGGUAACCGUUAUUAUUGGGUCUAAAGGGUCUGUAGCCGGCCGGAUAAGUCUCUUGGGAAAUCUGGCAGCUUAACUGUCAGGCUUUCAGGAGAUACUGUCUGGCUCGAGCCGGGAGAGGUGAGAGGUACUUCAGGGGUAGGGGUGAAAUCUUGUAAUCCUUGAAGGACCACCAGUGGCGAAGGCGUCUCACCAGAACGGACCUGACGGCAAGGGACGAAAGCUAGGGGCACGAACCGGA